GGUUUGUCGCGUUGUUCGUGAAAUCUCACGGCUUAACUGUGAGCGUGCGGGCGAUACGGGCAGACUUGAGUACUGCAGGGGAGACUGGAAUUCCUGGUGUAGCGGUGGAAUGCGCAGAUAUCAGGAGGAACACCGGUGGCGAAGGCGGGUCUCUGGGCAGUAACUGACGCUGAGGAGCGAAAGCGUGGGGAGCGAACAGGAUUAGAUACCCUGGUAGUCCACGCCGUAAACGGUGGGUACUAGGUGUGGGUUUCCUUCCUUGGGAUCCGUGCCGUAGCUAACGCAUUAAGUACCCCGCCUGGGGAGUACGGCCGCAAGGCUAAAACUCAAAGAAAUUGACGGGGGCCCGCACAAGCGGCGGAGCAUGUGGAUUAAUUCGAUGCAACGCGAAGAACCUUACCUGGGUUUGACAUGCACAGGACGCCGGCAGAGAUGUCGGUUCCCUUGUGGCCUGUGUGCAGGUGGUGCAUGGCUGUCGUCAGCUCGUGUCGUGAGAUGUUGGGUUAAGUCCCGCAACGAGCGCAACCCUUGUCUCAUGUUGCCAGCGGGUAAUGCCGGGGACUCGUGAGAGACUGCCGGGGUCAACUCGGAGGAAGGUGGGGAUGACGUCAAGUCAUCAUGCCCCUUAUGUCCAGGGCUUCACACACGCUACAAUGGCCGGUACAAAGGGCUGCGAUGCCGCGAGGUUAAGCGAAUCCUUUUAAAGCCGGUCUCAGUUCGGAUCGGGGUCUGCAACUCGACCCCGUGAAGUCGGAGUCG
rnacentral:rRNA from 1 species